rnacentral:rRNA from 1 species
AUUGAACGCUGGCGGCAGGCCUAACACAUGCAAGUCGAGCGGAUGAAGGGAGCUUGCUCCUGGAUUCAGCGGCGGACGGGUGAGUAAUGCCUAGGAAUCUGCCUGGUAGUUGGGGAUAACGUCCGGAAACGGGCGCUAAUACCGCAUGCGUCCUGAGGGAGAAAGUGGGGGAUCUUCGGACCUCACGCUAUCAGAUGAGCCUAGGUCGGAUUAGCUAGUUGGUGGGGUAAAGGCCUACCAAGGCGACGAUCCGUAACUGGUCUGAGAGGAUGAUCAGUCACACUGGAACUGAGACACGGACCAGACUCCUACGGGAGGCAGCAGUGGGGAAUAUUGGACAAUGGGCGAAAGCCUGAUCCAGCCAUGCCGCGUGUGUGAAGAAGGUCUUCGGAUUGUAAAGCACUUUAAGUUGGGAGGAAGGGCAGUAAGUUAAUACCUUGCUGUUUUGACGUUACCAACAGAAUAAGCACCGGCUAACUUCGUG